GGUCACAUGAUGUUGAAACACCAGUUCCUGUAUGAUCACCAAAGUUAAGCAAGAUCAAGCAUGAUCAGUACCUACAUGAGUGAUCACUUGAGAAUACCAGGUGAUGUAAG